UACAGAGGUGGCAAGCGUUGUUCGGAAUUACUGGGCGUAAAGGGCGCGUAGGCGGCCUUCUAAGUCAGACGUGAAAUCCCCCGGCUUAACCUGGGAACUGCGUCUGAUACUGGAGGGCUUGAGUGCGGGAGAGGGAUGUGGAAUUCCAGGUGUAGCGGUGAAAUGCGUAGAUAUCUGGAGGAACACCGGUGGCGAAAGCGGCAUCCUGGACCGACACUGACGCUGAGGCGCGAAAGCUAGGGUAGCAAACGGG
rnacentral:rRNA from 1 species